UGCUCUCUGGCUGUUGCUUUAAUUUGUUCUCUUUUGUUCCCACUUCAUACCAGCUCCUGUUUGUGAGCACCACCACGUCACAGACUGGUAAGGGAUCUUUGGGAGUGAGAGUUCUCCUUGGAAAUCUGAACAAAACUCAGCCUUCGUGACACCAGCACACAAUGGCUCUGACUAAAGCCAAGGAUUGGAAGAGAAGCCUUUUGUUUCCAAAACAAUCUGGUUUUAAGAGAUGUUUAGGUUCUAUUUCAGGGCAGAAGUGCUUGGAGAGAGUCCUUAAUGCUCUCCUCCUUUCUCAUGAGAUGAACAAGAUAAAUAGUCAUAGCUGUUGUCACUCUGGAAAAAAAAAGAUAAAGCAGAGCAGGUGGUUCAGAGAGCCUGUGACAGCUGCUUGGCCAGUGGCUGUUCAAUGAUGAGCAUUUACAGCUCCAGAUAACUAGCCAACCUCCUC